rnacentral:lncRNA from 1 species
CAUUAAUCGAUUAAUGCAAAAAAAAAUAGUAAAAACUAAAAAGUGCGGAACAACUUAAUUGAUGCUUUUACGGUUAUGCAAUGAUGUCAUUUUAUUUCCGCUGACAUUUAUAACAACUUUCCUGACAAAAAAGGUUCAAUAUUUGUAAGAAAAAAAAUCAAGGUCAUUUGGAACAGUUUGGCAAAAACGAUGAUAUACCUCAGAUAAAUGGAAGUUGAUUAAAUGGCACAGUCCUACAUGAACUAGCACGUAUGUUUAAUAAAGUUUCAAAACGCACAUAAAAAAGUUAAUGUACUACUAUGGUAUAAUAAUACAAAUACUCUUGUGUGUUUGAGAGUGCUCAUUAUAAAACAAACAUAUUAUUAAACAAUAGAGUAGUAUAUUUAUUUAUUUUUAUAAACUAAAUAAAAACACUUUAUGUUUGAGUUUUAAGCUUGUCAGCAAUUAUAAGCCAACGUAGAUAAUAUAUCUUAAAAUAUCAAUAUAUAAAACUAUAUUUUGAAAUCAGUAGUUCUAAUGUUACAAAACAAAACAAAAAAUAUGUUAAUGUUUUUUGUCUCCGGUGUCAAAUAAAGAGAAAAGAAUUUCUUUGAAUGCCGGCACUUUGUAUCAUAACAUGUAAAACUUCUUGAAGAGGCCUACAUCAUGUUAGUAUUUUCGUUAGUAUGUAAUCAAAGGUUUUAUGUUUUUCGAUUUUAGUCUCCUGAAAUUUCUUUAGAAAGUUCGCUCUCAUUUUUUUAUUUCAGUGCAUUGAUUUUGUUAUUGGCAAGGAUAUUGGUUGGUUGAUUUAUUUAAAAUUAUUUUAUUUAUAAACAGUCAUUAAUUUUUGAAAACAAAAGAAAUAUUUUAGUUAUGUGAGAUGAAAAUGUUGCGUUAUUCUAACCUUAUAUUAAAAGUGGUUUUAAUAUUGUGGUUAUUCUAACCUUACAUUAAAAGUGGUUUUAAUAUUGUGGUUAUUAAUUAGAAUAUAAAAUGUUCUUAAGACUCUCCAAAAAUGCCAGGAAGUUUUUGCCUCCUUCCUUAUCAGUAAUGCAUAAAUGGCUAAGGAUGGCUUCAAACCACGGACCUCUAGUUAUGAAGCCAGAACACUAACCACUCCACCAAGUUUGCUAGUGUUUUAAGAUUUAUUAAACCACCAAGGUGUUUUAAUAAAUCUUAAACGUUUAACAUUUAGUCAUGUCAAAGUCAAUAAGUUUUUUUUAAAAUUUUGUCAAAGUUAGAUGCCAGAAAAAUAUUGUUUCUAUCAUUCAUUCAUACAUACUAAACGAAUUAAUUCUAAAACAACUUCUUCCAAAAAUUCCAUAGUUAAAGAAACCAUACAUACUAAACGAAGUUAAAGAAAUCAAGUAACUUUGUUGAAAUGGUUAAUAUAAAUUUCCAAAAUAAACUUUGAGUAAGAAACAGUGUAGUUGUUAAUCUCAUAGUUUAAAAUUUUCUGGCUUCAUAAUAAUUAAGUAAGAAACUGUUUAUGCCUCUUUUGCAUUAAGUACAACGAAAUUUUGUGGUGGUGCGUAAGUAAGAUGAAUCAUAUAUGUAUAAGAGUGUUAACAGCUGGACAUUUGGAAGAAAGCACCGGCUUACUUUUUUAACCAUGUGUACCUAGCUCAACAGCUUAUUGCAUUCAACUCAGACCGUAAAAACGACAAUCUUCGGCAACUUUUAAGAUCCAAAAAUAAAUCUGAUUUUAAAAGCUUAAUUAAUAAUGAAAACAACUCGUCGAAAUGGAAGUCUUUACAUAACGAUUUUCAAAAUGUUUUUAUUGAAAUAAUGACUAGAUGAGUCCUUUUGAAAAAAAAUUUUAAAAUUCAUUUUUUAUUCUUUGUAUUAAAUUAAGUAAAUACAAUGAAACAAAGAUUCUUGAACGUACUGAUGUUUUAAAUAAAGAGCAACUGUUAAAUUUUUGUUUACAAUGGAUUUCUGAUAACUUUACCUUUAAUAAAGAUUUACUUGGUUAUUACAAGAUCUUACAAAGUUCAUUCAAAGUUAUACAAGAUAGAUUAGUUUAAAUGCAGCUUUCUCGCAACAAAACGGGGCUUAAUCUUAUGAAGGUGCUAUCAACAUGCCAGGAAAAUAAUCAGGAGCAUUAGCUCCAAUAAUCUUAUGAAGGUGCUAUCAACAUGCCAGGAAAUCAGGAGCUGUUACUAGUAUUGUUAGCUCACGCCAAUGUCAUUCUCUUAAUUAAAAUUAUAUUAAUUGGAAUUAAAAAUAUAAAGUGAAAAAUUAGAAAAAAAUGUCCAAGAAAACGAUUACUUAACAAUCUAAAAGAAAGCUUAUUUCUUGUAAAGCCUCAUGAAGAUCAAGAUCAGAAAGUUGAAAAAAACUAUCCAGAAACAUUUAAAGAGCAUUAAAGUCUCUUUUAUUAUAAGUUAAUCGAGACCAUAAAAUCAAUUCAGAACAGACUUAACUUUACAGAUUUUGUUGCAUUUUUGAAUAUUGACUGCACGACAAAAUAUCUAUAAAUAUAAUUUAAGGAAACGAUUACAAAAAUGAAUGUUAUUAUAUGAAAUUUACUGAAUAUUUUGGACCACAUCUGCAAUAUUUCAAUAAAUGAAAAAAAGUAUUUCAACAACUCCGCCAUUUGUUUAAAUUGGGAAAAAAUGUAGUCAAUGGCAAGCAAAAUACUGGCCAAUAGAAAUAAACGAAGUAUGAGAGAGUGGUUAAGCAAUAAAAUGUAACAUAAAUACAAGGCCAACGACACGAGUUUCAAAGUGGGGGGGGGGGGGGGGGGGGGCUCAAUCGUCAGUUUCUAAAAAAGUUCUCUACUCUGAAAAAAAAAAUGGCCUUUAGAAAAAAAGUAGGGGGGGGGGGCAGGUAUCCCGGGUGUCAUUGGCCCUUAAAUAAACAACAUUGUUUCGUUAUUCGUAUCAUUUUUAACCAAUGUUUCAACUAAAAUUGUAAUAAGAAAGUGUAGAAAAGAAUUACAUUCAAACUUGGCGUUGUACGAGAAAGAAUUACAUUCAAACUUGUACGAGAAAUCAAAUGGCUCUACAACGAUACAUGUUUGCCAAAUUAAAAAAAGUUUUAAAUGGAUUCAGCAUUUUUUAUUUGUAAAUGUAAAAUUUAAUUCUUUCAUUAUUUCUGUAUGCUAUGUAAAAAAUACUCUUUGAACAUUAAUAUAAUUUUAAAGUUAU